GCGGGAGGACGAGCUCAACCCGGACAAGGUCGUUGUGGUCGUCGGCACCUCCUCCAUUUGGCCACGAGCCCCCGCCCCCGCGUCCAUCUCCACGCGUGUUGUGGCGACCCCGGGAGGAGCUCGAGCCGCAUCGGUGGUCCACGGAGCAUCUCCACGCGUGCAGCGGAGACCCCAGGAUGAGCUCGAGCCGCAGCGCUGGUCCACAGCGCCGGCGCCAUCGUCGGUGAGUCCCAGCCCUUUAAGCACAAACCUUUCGACGCAAGGACUGUCAUGGGAUUUGGAGUGCUCAAUGGCAUCUUAAUUGGACUUCUCAACCAGAGUCUAGGUUUCAACUCUGUCGGUUUCUAUCAGAGCAAGUCGAGCGCAUUAGUUGGAUCCAGCUUCUUGAUAUUGCAGAGGACUCGUCAAAAGAUAUACAGGGUUCUCGGCUGGCUGCGAAGAUUUGACAAGAGGCACAAGUGGAUUACUACUUCCUUGGAUAUUUUCAGAAAAUAAAUGAAAUGUGCAGACCGACAACAUGGACGGCAGGUCUUGCGGCUCCCAGCGCCCUCAACCCCCCACUGACCCUCUCUCAAUUUUGAUCUCUCCUCUACUCUUCUGGGUGGCGGUGAGAGCGGGUGUGAAACAGUAGAGGCGGGAGAGGCGGCCAUAGGAAGUAUAUGAUAGGAAAAAGAAUUGCUCUAUGGCAGUGCUUUGACUCGGUGACCAGAGACUGACUGAGUGUGCUUGCAGUUUGAGGUUGAUUUUUUCUGGUAUACAUAUAAUUGGAGGUAGGCGCCAUGGACGCCGCUCUUGUGCUCAUCAAGGUCUGCUGCUCCUUGUUCCAGUCCCAUGACAAGCAGCAGCAGUAGCAUCAUGGUUGGGUUGGAGCUACAGUGGCCAGCCACCGGGACGACACUGAUAGCCAAAGAAAGCUCCUUCCCCACCGCUGACAGCCAAAACCACUCUUGUGCUCAUCAAGCAAAGGGUCUCGCCACCGCGCGCAGUCCACCUCUCCCCGCAGGCAUGCCGGCCACCUCCCCACCUGACGCACAUCUUUCCCAUGGGGCCAUGGAACACGGUGAGCAGCAGUGGCUGUGUCACUUGUAUUGAGCACACCAAUCUGCCUCGGUAGACGGCUGCUGAAGUUGACCCACAGGUUGGAGACAAAGAUAGUGUGACAAUUGACUGACCUUGACAUGUUUGAGAAUUAGGCAAUUGAUUGUGCCAUUUCUCUGUGCAUUGGUACUUACUUUUAAAACCGGUAGAUUUUAAGAAAUAUUUCCGAUGCAUUAUAGAAUGCCACCAAAACAGAAUAACUCUCCUGCCUAUUUCCAUUUAUUCUUAACAUUGCUUGUUUUUCCUUA